rnacentral:rRNA from 1 species
AUUGAACGCUGGCGGCAUGCCUUACACAUGCAAGUCGAACGGCAGCACGGGUGCUUGCACCUGGUGGCGAGUGGCGAACGGGUGGGUAAUACAUCGGAACAUGUCCUGUAGUGGGGGAUAGCCCGGCGAAAGCCGGAUUAAUACCGCAUACGAUCUACGGAUGAAAGCGGGGGACCUUCGGGCCUCGCGCUAUAGGGUUGGCCGAUGGCUGAUUAGCUAGUUGGUGGGGUAAAGGCCUACCAAGGCGACGAUCAGUAGCUGGUCUGAGAGGACGACCAGCCACACGGGGACUGAGACACGGCCCAGACGCCUACGGGAGGCAGCAGUGGGGAAUUUUGGACAAUGGGCGAAAGCCUGAUCCAGCAAUGCCGCGUGUGUGAAGAAGGCCUUCGGGUUGUAAAGCACGUUUGUCCGGAAAGAAAUCCUUGGCCCUAAUACGGUCGGGGGAUGACGGUACCGGAAGAAGAAGCACCGGCUAACUACGUG